CAAAGAGGAAGAAUAUUCUCCAGAUUACUCCUGGUUCAUAAAAAAAAAAUGUGGAAGUUCUGCAUUCAGAAGAUGAGGUUGUGUCUUCCACUCUGCGUCCUCUACCUGUUGGCUCCAGUUGGCUACAGUCAGCUUCCAGGGCCUCCUGGUCCCAGAGGACCAAAGGGAGAGAUGGGAGAAAUUGGUCCUGCUGGACCCGCUGGACCCGCUGGACGUAAUGGAGCACGUGGAUUCUCAGGACUAGAUGGAGC